GGACCCGCACAAGCGGUGGAGUAUGUGGUUUAAUUCGAAGCAACGCGCAGAACCUUACCUACCCUUAACAUCCCGGGACAACCUCAGAGAUGAGGCUUUCUCUUCGGAGACUCGGUGAUAGGUGCUGCAUGGCUGUCGUCAGCUCGUGUCGUAAGAUGUUCGGUUAAGUCCGAUAACGAGCGCAACCCUUAUCCUUAGUUACCAGCAUUAAGUUGGGGACUCUAGGGAGACUGCCGGUGUUAAACCGGAGGAAGGCGGGGAUGACGUCAAGUCCUCAUGGCCCUUACGGGUAGGGCUACACACGUACUACAAUGGCAGGAACAAACUGACGCGAGACCGCGAGGUGGAGCAAAUCAGUAAAACACUGUCUAAGUCCGGAUUGGAGUCUGCAAUUCGACUCCAUG
rnacentral:rRNA from 1 species